rnacentral:rRNA from 1 species
UACGAAGGGGGCUAGCGUUGCUCGGAAUGACUGGGCGUAAAGGGCGCGUAGGCGGAUGGUACAGUCAGAUGUGAAAUUCCCGGGCUUAACCUGGGGGCUGCAUUUGAUACGUAUUGUCUUGAGUUCGGAAGAGGGUCGUGGAAUUUCCAGUGUAGAGGUGAAAUUCGUAGAUAUUGGACAGAACACCGGUGGCGAAGGCGGCGACCUGGUCCGACACUGACGCUGAGGCGCGAAAGCGUGGGGAGCAAACAGG